rnacentral:sRNA from 1 species
ACCUCAGCUUAUAACGCCAUAGGCUGGGUUCAAUGAAGUAUAUAUAUAUUGCUGUGUGUAGUCUUUGCCUGUCAGCCCAUGAUAGGCUUUUUUUUUG